AUUGAACGCUGGCGGCAUGCCUUACACAUGCAAGUCGAGCGGCAGCGCGGGGGCAACCCUGGCGGCGAGCGGCGGACGGGUGAGUAAUACAUCGGAACGUGUCCUGUCGUGGGGGAUAACCAGUCGAAAGACUGGCUAAUACCGCAUGAGAUCGAAAGAUGAAAGCGGGGGACCGCAAGGCCUCGCGCGAUUGGAGCGGCCGAUGUCGGAUUAGCUAGNGGCGGGGUAAAGCCCACCAAGGCUACGAUCCGCAGCUGGUUUGAGAGAACGACCAGCCACACUGGGACUGAGACACGGCCCAGACUCCUACGGGAGGCAGCAGUGGGGAAUUUUGGACAAUGGGGGCAACCCUGAUCCAGCCAUGCCGCGUGUGUGAAGAAGGCCUGGUGUAA
rnacentral:rRNA from 1 species